UACAGAGACUGCAAGCGUUAUUCGGAUUCACUGGGCGUAAAGGGUGCGCAGGCGGUUGGGUGUGUCAGAUGUGAAAUCCCGAGGCUCAACCUCGGAACUGCGUCUGAAACUACUCGACUAGAGUACUGGAGAGGGUAACGGAAUUCACGGUGUAGCAGUGAAAUGCGUAGAUAUCGUGAGGAACACCAGAGGCGAAGGCGGUUACCUGGACAGUUACUGACGCUGAGACGCGAAAGCGUGGGGAGCGAACAGG
rnacentral:rRNA from 1 species